rnacentral:rRNA from 1 species
GAUGAACGCUGGCGGCGUGCUUAACACAUGCAAGUCGAACGGGAAACCUUUUAUUGAAGCUUCUGCAGAUUUCGCUGGUUUCUAGUUGCGGCCGGGUUAGUAACGCGUGGGUAACCUGCCUUAUUCAGGGGGAUAACAACCAGAAAUGGUUGCUAAUACCGCAUAAGCGCACAGGACCGAAUGUUCCGGUGUGAAAAACUCCGGUGGUAUAAGAUGGACCCGCGUUGGCUUAGCUAGUUGGCAGGGUAACGGCAUACCAAGGCGACGAUCCAUAGCCGGCCUGGGAGCGUGAAAGGUCACAUUGGGACUGCGACACGGACCAGACUCGUACGGGAGGCAGCAGUGGGGAAUACUGCACAAGGGAGGAAGACGUGAUAAAGCGACGCCGCGUGAAAGAAGAAGUAUGUCGGGAUGUACACUUCCCUCAGACGGGGAGAUAGUGACGGUACCUGACAAAGAAGCCCCGGCUAACUACGUG